GAUGAACGCUGGCGGCGUGCCUAAUACAUGCAAGUCGAGCGAACGGACGAGAAGCUUGCUUCUCUGAUGUUAGCGGCGGACGGGUGAGUAACACGUGGAUAACCUACCUAUAAGACUGGGAUAACUUCGGGAAACCGGAGCUAAUACCGGAUAAUAUUUUGAACCGCAUGGUUCAAAAGUGAAAGACGGUCUUGCUGUCACUUAUAGAUGGAUCCGCGCUGCAUUAGCUAGUUGGUAAGGUAGCGGCUUACCAAGGCAACGAUGCAUAGCCGACCUGAGAGGGUGAUCGGCCACACUGGAACUGAGACACGGUCCAGACUCCUACGGGAGGCAGCAGUAGGGAAUCUUCCGCAAUGGGCGAAAGCCUGACGGAGCAACGCCGCGUGAGUGAUGAAGGUCUUCGGAUCGUAAAACUCUGUUAUUAGGGAAGAACAUAUGUGUAAGUAACUGUGCACAUCUUGACGGUACCUAAGCAGAAAGCCACGGCUAACUACGU
rnacentral:rRNA from 1 species